rnacentral:lncRNA from 1 species
GGCGGUGGUGGUGGGCACGGUGUUUCUUUCGGUGUCGGUGGUGGUGGCGGUGGAGGACAUGGAGUUUCCGGUGGUGGUUUUGGUACGACCGGUGGUUUUGGUGGUGGUUCGACUGUCGGUGGUUUUGGCAUGAUCGGAGGUUUGGGUAUGAUUGGAGGAUGGAUAACGGGUGGAUUAGGUAUGAUUGGAGGAUGGACAACGGGUGGAUUAGGUAUGAUUGGAGGAUGGAUAACCGGUGGAUUAGGUAUGAUUGGAGGAUGGAUAACCGGUGGAUUAGGUAUGGUCGGGGGAUACACAAUCGGAGGGUGCACAAUUGGAGGUUUAGGUACGGUUGGUGGUUCGACUACCGGAGGUUUUGGCUCGACGGGCGGUG